rnacentral:misc_RNA from 1 species
AACGAAACUUUUCGUACUAGAAGACCCACACGAGUAAUCAAAUAUAUUAAAAGAAGUUAUUUAUAAGUUUUGGUAUGUAAUUUUCUAGUGUAUAAAUCUUUAAGAUAUAUACACCAGUGUCAUAUCUUUUUUAAAGAUAUGUACACGAUAGAUCACUGCAUUUAAUAGAAGAAAAAUUUUAUUAAGUUAUUCUCAAACAAUAACAAAAAAAACUUAGUCUGCAAUAAAAAGGUCGACUAAGUAUAUAACCCUUUUUU